GGACUCCCGGAAGACAGAAGAGGAUGAGACCACAUCUGGAAUAGCAAUUAUGAUUGGAGUCAAUUAUCUACCUAAAUUUGAUAUUCUACAGCCAUUCUCUGAGACCCAUCUGCUUCUCCCAAGCCCAGUUGGUAUUCGAUUACUGGGGUGACAGGGCAGUCCUCGAAGAAAUGUUUAUCUUUCUCUGAAAGGGACAUUCAAACACAUUGAGAAAAUCAUGACAAUAAAAGUUUCUCUGUAAGCACCACAAAAAUCAACUUUUUAAACACAGAUUGAUUCUGACAAUUUUUAUUUUACUAGAUUUCCAAGAAUUGGUACAGAAAUGCCUCUUAAUUGAAAUAGUUCUCCUUUUUGGCUUUUAUUUUAUUGUCCUUUACUUCUUGACAUCUUGUACAUUAAAUCAGAGGCUGUUUUAGAGACGUGAAAUGACAGCUUUUUCAGAGCCCGACUCUGGAUCCUGAUAGAUCUGCACUUCUCAAAGCAGACAGGCUGCUCUCCACAGCCUGCGAGAAGCUUCCUGCGCGAUGGGCGCGUCACCUGGAAACAUAACCAUAAACUGCAGGUUAAUCACCAAGGACCGACUCGUGUCAAUUCCCCACUGCCCUGCUUCCCAUCUAAGAGGAAUAAAGCCAAGAACUAUUUUUUCCCCCUCUCUGCUAUUUAAUUUAACAGAAUCUGGGCUCAACUUUAGUUGGAAAUUAUAUUUCCUCUCAACCACAGUGGAAAGGCUACUCAUGUAAUCUGGUAGUGUGUUGUAAAGAAAAAUCAAAGUGCCCUCAUGGAAAAUUUUCCCCGAUUACAUCUUCCUGUGAUGAGAGAACAUAUAAAGUGAAUGAGAUGUGACACAGGCAUGAACAGAGAACCCAUUUGUUACACUGAAAUUCUGAGAAAAAUGCUAUUUUUGUUACUGUGAUGUUUUGGAGUUAGAAGAGGGUUAUUUGGGAAAAAAAAUGUGUAUUUAUAUCAGAGUCAAGAGGAAUAAAAAUGAGACAGGAUGCGAAAAUAUGAUAGCACAGGAAAGCACAGCUCCACAGACCAAACCAGUCCUCGUUCAAGGUAGCAGGCAAACAUCUUAUAGCAGGAACGCUAACAAGAUGAGCAUUCUGGAUUUGUUUUUCAGUUCUACCUAACUCUUUGUAACUUUACAAUGUAAGAUUCAGAAAUUGGAGCCAAUUACCAUAAUAUGUGGUGGUUUGGUGGGAGCAUGUUCUACAUCAGACAGUUAAAAGGUUUUAUUGCUAUUAGGAGCAUGUUAAUGCCCUUGAUAAUGUCUCUACUUGCUUUGUAAUGUCUCUCGUUGAAGUAUAGGAUUCUUUUAUCUUCUUAUUACAUUAUGCAAAAACUUGAAUUGAAAAGAUAUUUGCAGGAACAUUUAAAGUAGUGCAUCAAUCAGCUUCAAAGAAGAGAAAAUGUUCUCGGAAUAGCUUAUAAAAGGAUAACUGUCAGUUUUAUUUUGGAUGAACAAAGGCGGCAACGUAAAAAGCACUUUAUUGUAAAAGCAUACUGUGCAAUUCAAUAAAUAUGCCAUAUAAAUAUAAAAGAGAAGAAAGUUCAUAAUUAUCUGAUGACUUAAAUGUAAUUUAAGUAAUACUUAUAAAAUGCAUCUAACAGUGAAGUACUCUUUUUCGGUUGGGUUCCGAGUUCUAGCCUCUAAGC